AUUGAACGCUGGCGGCAGGCCUAACACAUGCAAGUCGAACGGUAACAGGAAGAAGCUUGCUUCUUUGCUGACGAGUGGCGGACGGGUGAGUAAUGUCUGGGAAACUGCCUGAUGGAGGGGGAUAACUACUGGAAACGGUAGCUAAUACCGCAUAACGUCGCAAGACCAAAGAGGGGGACCUUCGGGCCUCUUGCCAUCGGAUGUGCCCAGAUGGGAUUAGCUAGUAGGUGGGGUAACGGCUCACCUAGGCGACGAUCCCUAGCUGGUCUGAGAGGAUGACCAGCCACACUGGAACUGAGACACGGUCCAGACUCCUACGGGGGGCAGCAGUGGGGAAUAUUGCACAAUGGGCGCAAGCCUGAUGCAGCCAUGCCGCGUGUAUGAAGAAGGCCUUCGGGUUGUAAAGUACUUUCAGCGGGGAGGAAGGGAGUAAAGUUAAUACCUUUGCUCAUUGACGUUACCCGCAGAAGAAGCACCGGCUAACUCCGUG
rnacentral:rRNA from 1 species